UUUAUUUGAACCCUUCGAGGAAAGAGGCCAAAUUAGACAAAGGACCAAAAGACUAACCAGAUAUUAAAGAUGCAGUGGAGUCUCUUUCUGCUGAUUCUGAUGGGUCAGUGUUUCGUCUCCACCUGUUACCUGUAUGAGUACCACUUUAUUAGAGAAGACAAAACCUGGGAAGAAGCACAGAAAUACUGCAGAGAGAAUUAUGCAGACCUG